AGGUUGACCUCGGAUCAGGUAGGGAUACCCGCUGAACUUAAGCAUAUCAAUAAGCGGAGGAAAAGAAACCAACAGGGAUUGCCCUAGUAACGGCGAGUGAAGCGGCAACAGCUCAAAUUUGAAAUCUGGCGCAAGCCCGAGUUGUAAUUUGUAGAGGAUGCUUCUGGGCAGCGGCCGGUCUAAGUUCCUUGGAACAGGACGUCAUAGAGGGUGAGAAUCCCGUAUGCGACCGGUUGGCACCCGUCACGUAGCUCCUUCGACGAGUCGAGUUGUUUGGGAAUGCAGCUCUAAAUGGGAGGUAAAUGCCUUCUAAAGCUAAAUACCGGCCGGAGACCGAUAGCGCACAAGUAGAGUGAUCGAAAGAUGAAAAGCACUUUGGAAAGAGAGUUAAAAAGCACGUGAAAUUGUUGAAAGGGAAGCGCAUGCAACCAGACUUGUCGGCGGUGUUCCGCCGGUCUUCUGACCGGUCUACUCGCCGUCGGCAGGCCAGCAUCACUUGGGAGCGCCGGAUAAAGGCGCGGGGAAUGUGGCUCUUCGGAGUGUUAUAGCCCCGCGUGCAAUACGGCGCCUCCCGAGUGAGGUCCGCGCUUCGGCUAGGAUGCUGGCGUAAUGGUUGUCUGCGGCCCGUCUUGAAACACGGACCAAGGAGUCUAACAUCUAUGCGAGUGUUCGGGUGUCAAACCCCUACGCGUAAUGAAAGUGAACGGAGGUGGGAACUUCGGUGCACCAUCGACCGAUCCUGAUGUCCUCGGAUGGAUUUGAGUAAGAGCAUAGCUGUUGGGACCCGAAAGAUGGUGAACUAUGCCUGAAUAGGGUGAAGCCAGAGGAAACUCUGGUGGAGGCUCGCAGCGGUUCUGACGUGCAAAUCGAUCGUCAAAUUUGGGUAUAG
rnacentral:rRNA from 1 species